AAAAAUUGAAGGGUAAUUUUGAAAAUUUUAAUUUUCAACAUAAGAGAAAUUUAAAUUCCUCACUCCUUGGUGUGCAAUUCAAAUUCUACAUUAUAAUAGAUAUUAAACUCUAAUGGAAAUUAAAUCAUUAUAUAUUUUGUCCACCCAAACAAUGAAAAUGAAAAUAAAAUUUAAAUUAUUUCCUCUCCUCCAUUCUCUUCUCCCAACUAAACAACACCUAAGAGUCUGAAAGUGAAUUGGAGGCAUCAGAGAUCUAACCGUUAAGUAGGUGGAAUUGAUUUGGUUCGUGGGGCUUACAACUAAUGUUGACUUUUUGAUUUGUUUGAUUGAGGAUGCUGAGUUGCUGGAAAAAUAUGACUCUUAAUGUUUGUCCACCCAUGAUUUUGGAAAAGCCGAUGGAAUUGCCGUACAGGGACACUAAGGAGUAUCAAUCUGCUGGAAAGAGUGAUAUUGUGAGUUGGCAGAAAAAUUUCCUCAACGUAAAUUUGUGAUACCAUAAAUUAUAAUCAACGAUUGUGUUUGUGUUGAGCUAAGCUUAACUGAAGUUUGCUGAAACUUUUUACAUUGUUUCUUGAUAUAGUUUGAAAAGAGACCUUUUUUUCUCUUUCAGUGGAAUAAUGUGUUGAGAUUAGAGGUUGAAUUGAUCAUUAGAAGAGUAAUUGGGCCGAAAAUCACAAGACAAACGCAAGAGACAUUUCAUUUUACAUUACCAACUUCGUCUUUCCCUUUCCAAUUUUUUCUUGCCUUUUUCUGUUCUCAUCUUGCUUCACCUUAAUGUCUAUCCUCUUUCACUUCUGUCGUUCCAGAACAAGCACCUCACCCAUUCUUUUGAAAUCUCUGACAGGAUUUUUCCCACUAAUUAAUUUAUUUACUGUCAGAGCUUUUAUUUCAUCGCAGCUAUCAUUUAAAACCACAGUAACGGCAUCAGUAGGUUAAAAUCUCCCAAGUUAAACAGCUGGCAAAAUACCUGUAAAAUGAAGAAUCCAACGCCCCAUAGAUUUAAAUUUCAAACUAAUAAUUUAAUAAUCCAAGCUCAUUUCCAAAUUCCUGACAGGGACGUAAAUAUAAAUUUAAGGCUGUGACACCCCCACUUCUUUUUGUAAUAACACCCUCCAUCUAAUAAUCCUUGAAUUGAUAAUUGUCAUACAUAUCUCGAUUUAGUUAUAAGCGAGAAACAAACUCUAGUUUAACAGUGUAAUAUACGUUACUGAUUAAGUGUAAUAUUUUUGUCAACAAAAAGGACUGCAGUGCAACUAAUCCAUCAUUUGAAAGCCCAUGUCUUACUGAAAACCUAAAUUAAUUGAGAUAUCAGUUGUCGAGAAAUUGUACAAUUUGCCCCAAAUUGUUUUCUUCAGAAAAUCAAUUGACUUAUUGGAGUUAACAGAGUGUAAGCUGAAUUCACCAAGAAGUAAUGUGAAGUACUCUUCUUUGACAACAUUGAGUCUAACACGAGCUUAUGCAAAAGAUCACGUAAUUGAGAGUAUGUUUGAUAAAUGUCCAUUGAUUGAAUAUUAAUGAUAGAUAUACGGAGUUCCAUUACCGAAAGUUGUGGAUGACUUGCUCUGGAAUUUCACCUCCUCUCGAGGCGUUGUCAAUGGAAUGUAAGUGUGGUUCCUUCUACAAGUUUUCUUUUUAAGUACCAUAUAUUUUUCAUUUCUGAGAACUCAAAGCCUUUACCCAUGUUGCAAAUAUGCAACAAAUUGGAAGACAUUCAAACCAAACCCUAAAAUCCUCUCUUCUCUCUCUUCAAUAACUGUGGUUUUGCUUUGGCGCUUGUUGUUGUCGGUGGACUUAUUGGUGUUAAGGGAGCUUCUGUGGUUGUUUAUUUCUUCUGUUUUAUGUUUAUGUCCUUUAUUUUUGUUUUUUAAUAUUGUGUUGUAUUGUAUUAUUUUGUAUUAUUGUUUGUAACUAGAUAUUUCGAUUUUUUCUUUUUUGAUUGUUAGGGGAUUUCACUUACAAUAGUUGAGGUGAGUAUGACUAGUUUCAUAAAUUUUCUCAGGUUUUUAGAGAUUUAAUGGAUGAAAUCUUUCCUCUCCUAUAAGGAAUUAGAAGUUCUUAGGUAGCAUUUUUUUUUUUGUCUGAAAUUUGAAUAGAUCUAAAUUAAUCUAAAUUUUGAAUAAAACUGAAUGUCUGAAUUUGAGCAAGAUGUCUUUUUUUUUGUCUGAAUUGCUACAAGUAUUAAGUUGUUUGUUUUUUAUCUUAAAAAAUUUAAAAACUAGUAUUUUUACAUUUAUGCCCUUGUAAAUUAUAAAUGUUAAACAAAUAAUAAACAUCUCAAACAACUUAAAUAAGAUAAUAUAUUAUCUUAAUAUAAAUUAUUUUCAAUUGAAUACAACCCUUUAUAUCAUGUAUUAAUAUAUGUUAAUCAAUUUUAUUGUAGUUUAUAAUAUUUUUACAUGAAAUAUAUUCCUAAAAAUUAUGAAGAUAAAUAAUGCUAAUUUGAAGAAAAUAAAAAGAUAAAAAUAAUAAUAGUCUACCACUAUAUUAUCAUAAGUUAUAGAAAUAAUACUAACUAUUAAAUUUUAUUUAGGAACGGAUAAAAAUUAAUUAAUUAGAUAGGGAUAUUUGAGAGAAUAUAUUUUAAUGAUAUCAUUUAGACUUUUUAUAUUAAGCAAAAAGUUAAAAAUUGGCUUAAUAACUUAAUGACUGAAAAUUUUCAUUAAGUUGACAAAACAAAUGGAUUUAGUGAUUUAACUGAUUGAACUUAAGUCAAUUAAGCCAUUAAUAAAAAAUAAAUAAAUAGCCCCUUAGUGUUUGGAGAUUUUAAUAUCUUUGUUUUAUUAUUUGAGGCUAUAUAAAGUUAGACUGGAAUCAUAGUUUCUUAUCCUAUUCAUAGUAUUUAAGUCGAAUGUAGUCUUGUAUUUGCACCUUAUGGCAUUUGUAUUGUUGGCCUUUUGGUUCUUUGAAUGAAAGUCAUCCUUCAAAAAAAAAAAAAAUUCUAUUAAAAGAAUAAAAAAUAUAUAUUCUUAUGAAGUUUUCAGCCCUUCAAAAGAAAAAGAUAAGAUUUUAGAUUUCAUAAAUCUUAAUUAUUUUUUUUUACUUUGAAACGUGUUUUAUAUGGCUUUGAAGUUUAUGUGUUUUAUAUUAAUUAUUAUUUUCAGCCCUUCAAAAAAAAAAAUCAUUAAAUUAUAAAGUUUGUUACGGUAUGGGCUCACAACUCUACCACUGGUGCUAAAAGCUGAUUCAGAAGCAACUGUUGUAAUUGGAAUUGUCAAAAUAUCUCUAGCAAUUCAAGCUAAUGUAGGAUACCUAUUAGCAUUUGUCUUCCACCAACUCAAAAUAUUAAAAUCUUCCUUCCGGGGUAUAACUUUCUCAUCCAAAUAUGAAUCUAAUUCAUCUGCAACAACUGCACAAUCUCCAUUGUUUACAUAAUCAUCAAAACCUGUUAUCCAUUUGGUUGCUUUCUUAUAAGAAUCCCCUGUAAAUCUAGUACAAGAACUACUACCAGUAUAAUCAAAGCAAUAAACAGUUGGUGAAAACUUCAAUUAAUACUCUUAAACUAAUUCCCGACAAAGGGUGACCACUUUCCCAACAUACAACUAUUUUGAUAUUUAUUAUUUUUAACAAUAUUUAUAAUUUUGUUAUUUAUUUAUUAGUAAUUUUAAAAAUAAAAAUAAAAAUAAAAUUAAAAAUUAAAAUGGAGAAAUGGGUAGGGGAUGGGGAUUCCACCUCAUCCCCGUCCCCUCCCCGAAUAAAAAAUUGGGUAAAAAAUUUUCUCCGUCCCCUCCCCGAAUAAAAAAUUGGGUAUAAAAUUAUUCUCGUACCCUCCCCGAAUGGGAAAAAUCCCCGAGAGCACCCCGUGGGGAUUUUUGCCAUCCCUACACCUCACCCAUUCUUUUGAAAUCUCUGACAGGAUUUUUCCCACUAAUUAAUUUAUUUACUGCCAGAGCUUUUAUUUCAUCGCAGAUAUCAUUUAAAACCACAGUAACGGCAUCAGUAGGUUAAAAUCUCCCAAGUUAAACAGCUGGCAAAAUACCUGUAAAAUGAAGAAUCCAACGCCCCAUAGAUUUAAAUUUCAAACUAAUAAUUUAAUAAUCCAAGCUCAUUUCCAAAUUCCUGACAGGGACGUAAAUAUAAAUUUAAGGCUGUGACACCCCCACUUCUUUUUGUAAUAACACCCUCCAACUAAUAAUCCUUGAAUUGAUAAUUGUCAUACAUAUCUCGAUUUAGUUAUAAGCGAGAAACAAACUCUAGUUUAACAGUGUAAUAUACGUUACUGAUUAAGUGUAAUAUUUUUGUCAACAAAAAGGACUGCAGUGCAACUAAUCCAUCAUUUGAAAGCCCAUGUCUUACUGAAAACCUAAAUUAAUUGAGAUAUCAGUUGUCGAGAAAUUGUACAAUUUGCCCCAAAUUGUUUUCUUCAGAAAAUCAAUUGACUUAUUGGAGUUAACAGAGUGUAAGCUGAAUUCACCAAGAAGUAAUGUGAAGUACUCUUCUUUGACAACAUUGAGUCUAACACGAGCUUAUGCAAAGAUCAGGUAAUUGAGAGUAUGGUUGAUAAACGUCCAUCGAUUGAGUAUUAAUGAUAGAUAUACGGAGUUCCAUUACCGAAAGUUGUGGAUGACUUGCUCUGGAAUUUCACCUCCUCUCGAGGCGUUGUCAAUGGAAUGUAAGUGUGGUUCCUUCUACAAGUUUUCUUUUUAAGUGCCAUAUAUUUUUCAUUUCUGAGAACUCAAAGCCUUUACCCAUGUUGCAAAUAUGCAACAAAUUGGAAGACAUUCAAACCAAACCCUAAAAUCCUCUCUUCUCUCUCUUCAGUAACUGUGGUUUUGCUUUGGCGCUUGUUGUUGUCGGUGGACUUAUUGGUGUUAGGGGAGCUGCUGUGGUUGUUUAUUUCUUCUGUUUUAUGUUUAUGUCCUUUAUUUUGUUUUUUAAUAUUGUAUUGUAUUGUAUUAUGUUGUAUUAUUGUUUGUAAUUAGAUACUUUGAUUUUUUCUUUUUUGAUUGUUAGGGGAUUUCACCUACAAUAGUUGAGGUGAGUAUAGUUUCAUAAAAUUUCUCAGGUUUUUAGAGAUUUAAUGGGUGAAAUCUUUCCUCUCCUAUAAGGAAUUAGAAGUUCUUAGGUGGCAUUUGUUUUUUUGUUUGAAAUUUGAAUAGAUCUAAAUUAAUCUAAAUUUUGAAUAGAACUAAAUGUCUGAAUUUGAAUGAGAUGUUUGUUUUUUUUUUUUUUGUCUUAAUUGAUACAAGUAUUAAGUUGUUUGUUUUUUAUCUUUAAAAAAUUGAAAACUAGUAUUUUUACAUUUAUGUCCUUAUAAAUUAUAAAUGUUAAAC
rnacentral:lncRNA from 1 species